rnacentral:rRNA from 1 species
CCUACGGGUGGCUGCAGUGGGGAAUAUUGGUCAAUGGUGGGAACCCUUAUCCAGCGACGCCGCGUGAGGGAAGAAGGUUUUGGGAUUGGUAACCUCUGUCUGUGGGGACGCUAAUGCCGGUACCCACGGAGGGAGCCACGGCUAAAUACGUGCCAGCAGCCGCGGGAAUACGUAGGGGGCCAGCGUUGUCCGGAAUUACUGGGUGUAAAGGGAGCGUAGGCGGGAUGUCAAGUCAGAAGUGAAAAUUAUGGGCUCAACUCAUAACCUGCUUUUGAAACUGAUAUUCUUGAGUGAAGUAGAGGCAAGCGGAAUUCCUAGUGUAGCGGUGAAAUGCGUAGAUAUUAGGAGGAACACCAGUGGCGAAGGCGGCUUGCUGGGCUUUUACUGACGCUGAGGCUCGAAAGCGUGGGGAGCAAACAGGAUUAGAUACCCCUGUAGUC